GAUCCAGUGUGGUGCCUGGUUCUAUGGACCCAACCUGCUCUAUUAAACUGGUUGAAAUACUGAUACAUGCAAGUCUGGAUUCAUUUCCAGGAACUGCCUGGAAGCACUGGUGAGUCUUGUUUGGCUUUAGGCCUGGCACAUUGCUGCAUUAAGGAUUUCACAAUUUCCUCUGUGGCCUCCUGGAUUUCAUGUGAAUUACCUUCUCAGCCUACCUCCUAAGUGUCAGGUCCUUCAUCUGAUCAAUUGACUAGCCUUGGAUAUUUGUUUAAGGUUAUCUCUCCUCCCCCCUACCCCCUUCCUCUGCUGGUGCCCUUUGGCUGUUUUCAGUUUAAACCCACCCCACCCUUCUUCCAGUUCCUUCCUUUGAUGGAGAGAGUAAGUCCAGGUCUGUCUAAUGGGAACUGUGGUUCACUCUGUGAUGUGGUUCGUUAUCGCAAAGCUGUUAAUAAAAUCUGUGUGUUUCCCCAAGCUGUCACUCGGUCGAGAUGGGAAAUAUUCCCUGAGCUCAGGCAAUGUUUUAUCAUAACAGCAGCAUGCACAGGCUUGAUGAGCGCCAAAAGUCUUUUGUUUGGCUGGGUUUCUCCUCUCUCCAAUGGAUCAAGUGCAGUUUGGGCUGCUGUAAAACUGUGUAAGGAGCUGCAGUGGAAGCUGUCCUUCAGCAUGGCCUAGUGGUGAUGUUGAACCACCUUCCCAGUGUCUGCCGGCUCCCCACCCUCCCAGCUCAUGGUAGGAAUGUGAUGGGUUAUUUUGUCAGCAGUCGCAGGGGGAGGUUAGGGUUAAGAGGUGAGCGCUCCAGGUGCGGCUGAGCAUGAGGGUUUUAUACAUUUCGUUGGUGAGAAGGGAAUGCAUCCUUCGUUUCUAAUGACAGGGCACUGCAGGUAGGGACAUGAUGCUCCUUGUCUCGCAGAUGUGUGGUUAAGCAAAAGACAAUUGCAGAUGUUCCUGGAAUUCCCAAACCGGAUACAAAAUUGCUAAGAGGAUACAUAGAUGGGGGAGCGUUGCCAAGAGCUUUUACAUAAUGAGAGGAUCAUGUUAUGCUUCUCUCGCUUCAGGGCUCGGUUGAGCUCCUCAGCUCUUCUCUGAAGUUGGAGGUAGAACGCACAGAGUUCUCUCUUGUUAAGAGAGGUGUGUGUUUUUGCAUACAUGCAUGCACACUUGUACAUGUGUGUGUAUGUUUAAGCCCGGAACACCCCACAGCCUUGACACUGUAUAUAUCGGAUGAAAGAUUAAAGUUGUCUUUUUAAAGGUGUGCUAAAGUUUCCAUUGCAAACAAACAUCUCUGUGUGGAAAUCUGUCUUCAGUUUAGAAGGAACAUAGGAAGCUGCCAUACUGAGUCGGACCUUUGAUUCAUCUAGAUCAGUACUUUCUUCACUGGCUGGCAACAGCUCUCCGGGGGUUCAGGGAAGGAUCUCCCAGUCCUAUCUGGAGAUUCUCCACCUCUGGGCUUCAACCCCAGUCCACUUCCCUAGGUUUUCUCCAGUCCACCCUUCCCUUCCCUUCCCUUCCCUUCCCUUCCCUUCCUUUGGUGUUAAAAAGUGGAUUAAAGGGGGGAACAACCCCCCCUUAGGUCAAUAUUUGCAAAGCAGAUGGAGAGAUAGCUUCACACUUUCUCCAGGAGGGGAAUGGGAAGCAUUGCCACUUAGAAAACUGGUCAGGUGUGUAGGAAUUCCUUUCAAACUAUACUAGUGAAAAUGGAUCAGCCUGGGUUCCCUGUUUCCCUCACUUGUCAGGUGGAACUAAGCACCUGUGUCGCCUGGAAGGGGGGGAGGAAGUGCUCCUGUUCCUAUAAGACUGCUGCCAAACUCGUGAGGGCUCAGUUCUACAGAGCAUUGGGUUGUUGUUGUUUUUGCCAGGACAGAGAUUAGAAUUUGUUGAGGCAUCAAUCUGAUUUCAAUAACUGUCCUGUGAAGCAGAACCAUUGAGUGCCUUGUGACCCUCGACAGUCUCACUCCUGUCCCUUUUAAAUUUAUCCCUCUGAUUUGAAAUGCCUUAACUUGUAAUGCCAGUAAAGGUAUUUGUAUUGUGUUGCCCUCCUCAAAGGUGGGAUCAGAAAUCGGAACCAUGAUUUGAUACGUUUCCUAAAAUGCUUAUAGAGUACCACUGGCUGUGGCUUUGGGGGUGGUGCGGGGAGAAGCAAGGAAGAUUAUAGCCUAGGGAAUAGUGAAUUGUUUACUGAACCAUUGUGUGUGUGUGUGGGGGGGAAGACAUCUGGUCAUUGAUGGGGAAAGGAUGAUGGGCUCAGCUGUUCUUUUGCCAUCACUGAGAGCCAAACUGUAUUGGUGCCAAUGGGGGACAGCAGCUUCAGUGGAAUUUUUCCUUGGGACCGCAGUGGGAAAGGGUUAAACUCCUCAUCCUUACUUGCUUUGAUCCUGUAAAAUAAUAGUGCUGCCCCCCCGCAGAUGCUAUUUGCCCUUGAACAUCGAUCUGAACUCUGCUGUUGAUAGUAUAAAGUUAAAUGCUCUUUUCAACUUGCUUAUUUCUGUUGUGCAGAUGAGCAGUCAAACAAGUGGAAUUCGGGUGUCCAUUAUGGCAUUCCCAACUUCCAUCAGUCCCAUCCAGCACGGGCAGAGUUCAGGGAUGAAGGGUGCUGGAAUCCAGCAGUAUCUGGAGGCACCACAUUGACCACCCAUGAUCUGAAGAACCAUCUUCUUCACUUCCCAAACCAUCAGUGCUUGGCCACCCCACCUUCUGAUACUGCUCUUCCACUUCCAGAUUUCUGAAGGUGCACAGUGUCGUUUUUCAGAGGGCAGAUGGACACCACUAACUCCCCUGUUGUGAGCUUGGCUUGAGCAUGUACUCAAGAGAUGUUUAUUUGUUGCCUCGGGAGCAUGCACAAACUCCUUGCCAAGAGUCCAACAUCUGCACAAUUGAUACUUGGCAGGAAAUCCCUGUUUGGUCCCUGAAGGUAAUGAAUGAAAGAGGUUGGGUGUGCAUCCCACUAUUUCACUCUUUGGCUCUGCUGUGCCAAUGGCCCUGACCUGACAGGGACCAUCCCAUGUCCACCAUCACUAUAAUGAGGCAAGUCUGUGUAUGUGAGUGUAUGAGACAGCGUUAUAAAUUGUCAAUGGAUCUAUACCAGGAAAUAGCCUAGGUAUUCAGCUGCCUGGGCAACUAGGAGUUUUUGAAAUCUCCCUCAAAGCAUACAGACCUAGAAUACAACAUUUGGGAGUUAAAAACCCCUGGGAAUGGAGAUCCCUCCCCUUGCUGCAACUCUGAGAAUUUCCUCUGUGGCUUUGACUCUGACAGUUUUCAUAAAGUAGUACAUACUUCAAAGCACUAAGCAACCAUAAUAAAGGUUUUAUUUGCAAAAGAGCUCUGCUCCCAUUUAUCCUGCAUGCUGAGCUUUUGUGACUGACCAAAUCUUCCCCCUCACGGAAUGUGAACGGCUAAAACGCGCGCGCACACACACACACACACACACCACUUGUGCAAAGCAAAAGCCGCGUUGUUUUGCUUAAGAGAGAGGUGAAGAGGAAAAAUAAACUUGGCCCUGAUUCUGGGGCCUGAAUAUAUUUUUUUUUGCCAAUCAGCUCCAUUAUCCUCAACACUCAAGAUUGAAAAUAAAUUCCCCUCCAUUGUGUGAGGCUCCCCCUACCCCCAGCUUUCCAAAGCAACUGUAUUUUGCUUUCUUUGAUGACACUGGGGCUCCAGGAGAAUCGCUGCCCUCCCCACCCGCUUUUAUGACACACUGUAAGGGAUUUAGGCUUGAGUGCAGGUGGGUUUUCUCCCCCCUUGCUGUCACCUGGACAUUGCCAUGGAGAUAAUCCUCAGUGAAACAAAAAUAAGAGUAGAACCGGUUGGACAGAAAGUGCAAGGCUGAGAGCUCGUAGCUGGAGGAGGGGAGGGAUAAGUGGCGUAAGGCCAAGGCGAGGGCAGCGGAGGCUCGGUGGGGAGCCUGCCUUGGCUCUAGAAUUCGCUUGAAUCCAGCGAUUUGGGGGGGAGCAUUGCAGCACUUAAUCAACAAUAGGCAAGUCCUCUCCCGUUGAGUUUAGAUGGGAUUAUUUGUGUCCUCGGACAGGAUUCUGCCGAUUUCCAGUCAGCACAGUAAAGCAGGUCAGCGAGGCCAGCGUCUCACCAAAUGUAACGAACACGAGAGUCCCCUUGAGCAAACAUUUGUGCAUGUUGCUUGCCUAGGCAUCUUCCUGGCUGACCAGUUUUUAGUGCUAGAUGGAAUUCUGCAGCGUAAGCAAAGACCACAUGGGAGGAUUUCGAGCCAUGGCGGUGCAUUCGCUACCUGGCUGCUUGGUAACUGUGUAUUCCUGACAUAAGCCUUUUGUGUUGGAAGGAUUGUUUGGCUUUGCUUUUUAGCUAAUCUUCCCAUUAUCCUGUUGAAAGAUGCCGUGUGUGUAGCAGUCUGUAUAUUCUGUAGUACCGCUUAGCACCAUAAUAUGUUGUUGGCCUAGUCUUGCAUUUCUUGAUGCAACAGAGGAAAGCCCCAGUGUCAUUGCCUAUGUUUUCAUUGCAAGUUCAUGCUGUAACCUAUAUACAGCCACUUUGUAUUUGACUUGUUGUCAGAUUAGAACUGCACUUUUAUUUUCUUUUUUCUUUCUCUUUUUAAUUUCACUUCUGCAUGACACAGACCUGAAGCUCCGUAGACACCUACAGAACUAAGGUCUAUCAAAUCAACUGAUGCCAAGAUCUGAGCAAGGCAUUGUAACAGAGUCUUGUGAAAACAUCAGUUAAUAAUAAUAUAAUAAUAAUUUAUUAUUUAUACCCCGCCCAUCUGGCUGGGUUUCUCCAGCCACUCUGGGCAGCUUCCAACAGAAUAUUAAAAUAUUAAUAUACAUAAUAUAUGUUAAAAUACAAUAACCUGUUAAACAUUAAAAGCUUCCCUAAACAGGGCUGCCUUCAGAUGUCUUCUAAAAGUCUGGUAAUUGUUUUUCUCUUUGACAUCUGGUGGGAGGGCAUUCCACAGGGUGGUUUACUUGCAUUCAGAUGACUGGAAUUUGACCGGGAAUCCAGAAUUAGAUAGGGAAGUGGGGAAGGAACUGGCCAUGUUGUGCUUGCAUGCAUCAUCUCUGAAAAUUUGUUUCAUUCACUCAGUGGUUUCUACAUCUGUGUGGCUUGUACUACCAUGUUUUCAUGGGUCCUGUGACCUUUCUGGAAUUGGGUUCAUCCCUGAAGACCUUUCAAUAUCUGGUGGGGUUUCAAACAAUGGCUGGUGGCUCCUCCUCUGCCUCCUUCUGGUGCAGCCAACGGAGCAGGACUGCUUUGACCUGCUUUCCCCUCUACAGCAGCAGCAGGAUAAGGAGCUUCCAUGCUUUGGGGACAUGGGAGGGGCUGGCCCUGACCCCCAAAAUAUUGAGGGGGCCCCAAAAGGUCUCGGCUUCCAGGAGCUGGUGCCCCUGCACCUUCAUUGUCACCUCACAUUCCUGCCUAGACAACAACGGGGAGGGGGACACAAGAAGCCUGAGGAUGAGGUUGUAGCUUUUGAUUCCAAGGUAAUGAUUCUUUCAGUAUUGCUGGGCUUGUGUAUCCUUCCCAGAAUAGCAGAUUGUAAAUUUCUUCUUCCUUUUCAAUCUUGGUUGGCUCCCCACCACCAUCGAGCCUUGAAUAGAGUAUAUUUUGGGGUUGAGUGCCAAGAACAUAGAAUUUACUCUGUGGAAUAUCUCUCUAGGGGGAAUUCGGCAGCAGAAGGGGGCAGUUGAUGGAGGAGGACUGUGGGCCUCUUGUUCGCAGGCCUCGAUUGAAGGUUUCUGUGGUCUGCCCUGGGGCCAGCCACCGGGGUGUCAGGAAGUUUGGCAUGAGAUUAUUACCUAGGGCCACCAGCAAACUCUGGAGUAGAGCGAAAGAUCAGCCAGCAGCCUCGUAUUUUUUUGGACGUAGCCUAGGCAAAUAUUGAGAUACUUUCUUUUUAACAUGGAGGCUGGGCAGGAAGUAAGGUUCUUUGGCGCCCAUUUGAUUGCUAAUGGUAGCAGAGAUGGAAAACUUAAUCUAUGUGGCAUGCGUAAGAAGCCAGUAGCUCAUUAGGUUGCUGGGGAGUGUGCAGGAUGGCUUUUAGAGGCCACCGAAAGACGUUCUGAGGUUUCAGACUCCCCACAAAAGUAUGGCUGUGCCUUCUGCUUUAAAUACCUCUCUGGUACUAAAAACGGCAUUACUUUUAGUGGUGACGUUAAACAGAAUGUAAGGUUUUAAUUGCAUAAUCUGUUCACUUCUUUAAAAUGUCACUUGGAAUUUCAUCUUUCCCCUCCAUGGGCUCCGCGUGUUCAUUCCACAGGCCGUAUGUGCCACUUUUGCCUGUCUGCAUAAAAGGAGAUACACAAUGCUGUUUCUAAGCCAGGGAUAGUAAAUCUGUAGCCACCCCAGACAUUAUUGGACUACACCUCCAUUAUCCAUAAUCUUGAAAGACCUACACUGGCUCCUAGUACGUUUCCGAGCACAAUUCAAAGUUUUGGUGCUGACCUUUAAAGCCCUAAACGGCCUCGGUCCAGUAUACCUGAAGGAGCAUCUCCACCCCCAUCAUUCUGCCCAGACACUGAGGUCCAGUGCUGAGGGCCUUCUGGCGGUUCCCUCACUGCGAGAAGCCAAGUUACAGGGAACCAGGCAGAGGGCCUACUUGGUAGUGGCACCCACCCUGUGGAAUGCCCUCCAACCAGAUAUCAAAGAGAAAAACAACUACCAGACUUUUAGAAGACAUCUGAGGGCAGCCCUGUUUAGGGAAGCUUUUAAUGUUUAAUUGGUUAUUGUAUUUUAAUAUUCUGUUGGAAGCCGCCCAGAGUGGCUGGGGAAACCCAGCCAGAUGGGCGGGGUAUAAAUAAUAAAUUAUCAUAAUCAUCCAUAACUAUUUAUCUUGGGAUAGCUCAGUUGGUUUUAGAGUGUGGUGCUGAUAAUGCCAAGGUUGCAGGUUCGAUCCCCACUAUAUGGGACAGCUGCACAUUACUGCAUUGCAGGGGUUUGGACUAGAUGGUCCUCAGGGUCCCUUCCAACUCUACAAUUCUAUGGGUUUAUGGUUCUCUUGGCCAUAUUGGCUAGAGCUGUUGAAGUUGGGGUCUGGCAAGAACUGGAAGACCAUAGGUUCUCCACCCCUGUCCUGAGCAAAAUGCCCUUCUCCCAUUCCUGUGGCAGGCACUUGCUAGCUUUAUAUGGAGAGAUGGAAAGGCAUAAAAAGAGGGGGUGGGGGUGGGGCAGAAAAUGGAGACCAAAUGUUCUUCUGGACCUGGAGUUAUCCAUGAAUGGAUGGUGGAAAAAACAUACAUUUUAUUGCUGGUUUGUCAAAUGCAAAGCAACCUUGAAGAGGGAUGGCCUGUUCCUCUACAAGAGACAGCCUUUGAAGAUACUGGUCUUUAUUACUUUGGAGGUUGCUUUUGUUUUUGUUUUGCAAAAUUUAAAAAUUAUUGCAAAGGAUUCAUAUGGCCAAAAGCAGAGAACCCUGGUCUCUCUGCCACAUAUGCCCCUCUGGCAUAGAUGUAUCAAUUCACAGCCACCAGGGCCACAUGUUCUUUUAAAGGAGUGUGUUUGCCCACCAAGCUGUUCCCACUGCGAAUGUAUGCAAGGCUGAAAAUGCAUCAUCUGCUGUCCGGUGCAGCUGCUAUCCUGCUGUCUUUUGGGUACCUGCUGCCCAGCAUGGCAUGGGAAAGUAUGAGCUUUUUCUCCAUCUGUACUGCCCAGCCCUCUGGGCUAUCCAGUUUUCUUAGACAGCCUGAGACGCAGUGGCUUUUUUGCUGCCUGUUUGCUUUACUCCCAGCCUUGCCAGUGAGCCAUACUUCACCAUUAUUAUUAUUUUGCAGCCUCGAUGACAGUUUGCUGAACUCAUGCAUGCAUUUUUUUAAUUAUUUUUUUUUUAGGAUAUAAAAUUGAAAGCAGGGUAAAGUGCCAGGAACACAAACCCCACCAGGCAGCCGUGCUGUUUUAUAACAGCUGUGUGGGUCUGCCUGCUGAAGGAGGAGGCCCGCUCUGUGGUAUGUUUGCCUUAGGAAUUUUAACCAGGUGGGCCUUGUAUGUUUUAAGGUGUAUGCUUGAAGGCAUCUACUUUUAACCCAUUAGGGACAUGGAUUUUGGGAGGCAGGCCGGGUCUAGAAGAGCUUGAGCUGAUAAAAUGGCAUGAUAAUUGGGCAUGAAAGGAGAGAGGAGCAAGUGAGAUGGUUCAAGGAUUUCCUCCACCUGCCUCUACUUCCUUUCACUGCCUUCCACCUAGGACAACACACAAAUGUUACAUAUUGAUUCAUACAGGGGGAGGGACAAGCAUGAACUGUUUCACAAGUUUUCCUGCAUGCAUAAAGGGUGAGGGGGGAGAGGUAAGCAGACCCGACUCCACUUCCACUAUACCAGGCUUCCUCAAACUCGGCUCUCCAGAUGUUUUUGGCCUACAACUCCCAUGAUCCCUAGCUAGCAGGACCAGUGGUCAGGGAUGGUGGGAAUUGUAGUCUCAAAAAAUCUGGAGGGCCAAGUUUGAGUAAGCCUGCAAUAUACACUUCUCUGAGCCACUUGCCCUGUUCAUGUAGGGCAGCGUUUCCCAAACUCUGGAUUUCCAGUUGGGUUUUUUUGGACUACAAUUCCCAUCAUCCCUGACCACUGGUCCUGCUAGCUAGGGAUGAUGAGAGUUGUAGUCUAAAAAAACCACAGCUGAAGACCCAAGUUUGGGAAACCCUGAUGUAGGGCCUGAGGUUUGUACAGCAAGGACCAGAGCAGCAUUUUAGCCCCUACCCUUGGCAUCCUUUCCUGUUCAGUAAACUCAGCUUGUGUGUGAUUGCACCCAAACAAUCAGAUGCCCUGAUUAUGGAGAAUCGGGGUUGGGAUCCGCUGCAUGUCCUAGAUGCAAUGCUGUUGUCUUACCCUGCUGUGAUAGGUGUAUAGCCACCCCCUGGUGUUUUUGUUAAUCCCGUAGCAAAUGCCGAACUUGUGGCUGGGGCAGAGGUAUGCAUACAAACUCUGCCCUAGAGUCCUUGUGUGUUUCGUGUGUCCCCUGUCCCCGCUCGGCCCCCACACUGAAAGGAGACCCCCUUGAAAUCAACGGGCUUAAGUUAAGAUGGAUAUCACGCCUAUAUUUUAUGUGCAUUGCCAUUUGAGGUCAGUCAUGUCACUGUAUGUCUAAUUAGAGUAUUGCUCAGCACUUGAUGAAGAUGCUGUCUUCCUGGCUCUGUGUUUUUCGUCCCUUCAGGACCAAAACUGCUGCUAGAAUUAUGCUCUGGUUAGUGAAUCACUAGCUGUAGUCAGAUCAUUUCAGGACCUGUGUCUCGAAAUCAUACUUCAUUUAUCUCUAGGGCAUGAGAGUUUUCCAGAGCACUUCACAUCAAUCAUUGGAGUUUUUCUUCCAGCAACCAGUAUUAUUCCCUCUCUGUUGUUGGCCUGUGGAGGUGUGGGCAUGCUGUGAAUAGCAAAGCCAUGGGAGAAGUGAGACCUGAACUGGUGGGUUUUUGGCUCCUUGGCCAAUUUGCUGCACUACCUCAGUGAAAACACCCACUCUAGUGGGCAUGGAGUGUAUUUCAUCAUUCUGAAAGUGGGAGAGCGUGCAGACAGCCAGAGGGCAUGUCUGUGUCCAAUCAUGAAUGAAGGAGGGAAUCCCCAUAGAUAGGAAUCUUGAUUGAAUCCAAUGCCUUGAGGAAAAAGGAUUUGGAAAGGGAGAUGCACUGACAGUUGCACCGAAACUCAUGCCAAGUAUCCUAAAUAAUGCCAGUUGUUUUGUCUGUUGUAACUCUAGAAGCUAGGCAAGCUCUGAGCUGGUGCAAGGGUGGAGUUCAGCCCAUGGAUUAUGAAGAAUUAGUCCCCAUGGUCAUCUUGGCAGUGCCUAGUCCUGAGUGAAAUCUAAUUGUGGUAUUUCUUAACGAGAGAGAGAAGGGGGGGGGAGGUAGAGAGCAUCUGCUGUCCCCUUGAGAAUAGCCUGAAUUGCCUUGCAUAAGUCAUGCUGGAGGAUUUUAAAAAUUGGAUUCUAGGUGAGGGGAUUGGUGGAGUACCUCCAAUUUCAAUUGGGUCUGCAGCAUGCAGGGAUGUGAGCCUUAACCAUUCUCUUCCCAGCUGGGGUCCCGAUGGAUUUAGUGCACACCUGCACCCAUGCUGCAGUUAGAAACACAGAAAAACCUCCCAUUGGCACUAGUUGGCUGUUCUUCAGAAGGUACUGAAAGGAAACAGGAAGGAGGACUUCAAUGGGGGUGCCCCUUUUUGGCUUAGUGGAGGUGUAGAAGUCAGAUCCUUCUGCUGACCCGACCCUACCUAACCGGUACCCGUCUUGCAGUCGUUGAAUGCAGACCGAGGUGGUGCUUGAGAAUGAUUGAUUGAUUCUUUGCCUAUUCCACAGAAUGCAAUGUUUGGGAGCGACUGCUUUGCAACAUGUCCCAAUGCACUAGGCUGCUUGGCCGGUCCUGCCUGCUUUUGUCUCCUAUAGUGUGGUUUUUGUGGUUGAAACCACACCAAGCUUGUAGAGGAGGAAACCCAUUAAGGAUUAAGAGGUCAGUCUGCAUUCUGCAUAGUUUCUGUAUGUGUCUGAAUGCAAGUCUCAGAGCCACUUGCUUCUAUCAGCGUCACCAGCAACCCCUGCAGGGCACAGGUGGAACGUGACUCUCCCAAGCAAGAGGCAGUUCCCACAGACCGUCUUCUCCUGCCUGAGAUGGAAGGAAUCUAUUCAGAGGCCAGGAUUUAUGAACCUAGCCUCUUACCCAAAGGCCUUCUCAGAGGUUUACAGUGACCCAGGCCAUUUCCAGCUUCUGAGCGACCUAGCCAUGUUAAAAAUAAAAAAUGAUGACACACAAAAACCUAUUUAAGACACCCAGAAAAGAGCCAGUGGCUUGUUUAUAGAAUCAGCUGAUCUGAGAGGGAACGUUCUUCAUGGUCAAAUCUUGUUCCAUCAGAACCGAUACUUUCUUAAUCAUUUUUGUGAAUAUUUUUAGCUCUUUAAUAUGACAAAAUCUAUUACCAGUUAACACAAAAAAUAUGUCUUUUACCAGAUCACUUCUCCUAUUUGCUUAAAUCUGCACUUCUAAGCUGAGAGUGUGUGUCACAUUUUGGUCCAAUGUGCAUACAAACAAGUUGCAAAAAUUAUCAAAUAGUUUUUAAAAAACCUCAAGUGUCAAAAUCAGAGACUCGUUUUGAGCUUAAUGCCCUAGGUCUAAUGGCUAUCCUGCCCAACAUCCAUUGUUUGGCCCUGUUUGUCUAUAACUGUGAAAGUGUAAAUGUGUGUGUAUGUGUGUGCAGGUCACAGAUUAAAAGAAUCAAGGAGCAGCACCUGAUAUGAAAAACCCUUUGUCUGAAACCCCUGGAGAACCAUUACCAGUCAGAUGUUACUGGUCCAGAUAGACAAAUGGCAUGAAGCUUCGUCUGUAGCUUGGUGAUGCUCAUGUAUAUGGCACUUCUCUGGGAUAUUCAGUUAGGAAUGAUAGCCGCAAAGGCCUUCUGGUUCGCCAGCUGUGCCCCUUCCUGGGAAAGUUAACAUCUCCACAGUCAUCCCUGCCCUAGUUCGCACCAGGUUGGACUACUGCAAUGUACUGUACAUGGGGCUAGCUUUGAUGACCGACUGGAAAUUUGACUUUGUGUAGAAAGCAACAACCAGCAUUUUGUCUGGGGCUAGCUAGUUGCUGAGAUCAUAUUUAUGCCACUCAUGUACCAGUUUUAUUGGCUACUAAUUAAUUUCUGUGUCCAAUUCAAGGUGCAGUUUCUGACCUAAACAAUUUGGAACUGAACUAGGCUGUUUCCUCUUGCCUGUGGCCUUUUCAACCAAGGCACCUUAAUUUUGGAAAGAUAUACCUGCCCUCAUCACUGUCUGCUCUCAGGAAAGCUCAAAAUCCAUUGGGCAUUUAGAAUUCCUUAAAAUGAUUGUCUCUGUGAAGCGUUGAGGUUUUCAUCCUUCCACUUUUCUUGGUGGGGGCUGGGGUUGUGUAUGCAUCAUAGUCAUAUUUUAUUCACUGUAAGUUUCCUUUAAUGCAUAUUAUAAAGGUAACAGGACCCCUGACCAUUAGGUCCAGUCAUGACCGACUCUGGGGUUGCGGCACUCAUCUCACUUUAUUGGCCGAUGGAGCCGGCGUACAGCUUCUGGGUCAUGUGGCCAGCAGGACUAAGCUGCUUCUGGCGAACCAGAGCAGCGCACGGAAACGCCGUUUACCUUCCCGCCGGAGCGGUACCUAUUUAUCUACUUGUACUUUGACAUGCUUUCGAACUGCUAGGUGGGCAGGAGCAGGGACCGAGCAAUGGGAGCUCACCCCGUCGCGGGGAUUCGAACCACUGACCUUCUGAUCGGCAAGUCCUAGGCUCUGUGGUUUAACCCACAGAGCCACCCACGUCCCACAUAUUAUGCAGAAGUGCAAUUAAUUUCUGGUCUUCUCGGUGUGGAAUUCAUGAUACAGUUGGAGGGACCGCAGAAGGAGCUCCCAGUGGAGGCAGUGAUGGCCAACAACGUGGAUGGCUUUACAAGAGGGUUAGACAAUUUAAUGGAGGAUAAGUCUGUCCAUGGCAACUAGCCAUAACAGCUGUGUUCCACUGCCACUGUCAGAGACAGUGUGCCUCUGAAAACCGGUUCCUGGGUAUCACAGGUGGGGAGAGUGCUGUCACACCCAGAUCUUGCUUGUAGCAGCCCCACACUGUUGCUUGCAGCAGUGCCAACCACCACUAGGUACUGCGAGAACAAGGUGGUGGACUAGGUGGGCCUUUGGCCUGGUCCAGCAGCGCACUUCUUAUAGUCUUUCCCCCAGAAAUGCCUGGAAUGCCAAUGAAAUAACAGGAAGGCCAACUGCAGAAGCCACUCUGGUCUCAAGAUGGUUCUGGUUGGAACACGGGUUUAAACACUACUGAGCCAGAGCAGAACACAAACUCCAUGUAAAUCUUGAUGCCAAAUGAACUUCUCAUCCUUCUUGAAGGCUGGGAGUCAGGCUUGUUUGUGCAUGGGUGAGCAUGAUACUUGGUUGCUUCUAUUAUCUUGCAAUAAACACUUUCAGAAGGAAUUGUUCUCCCUACUUGGCUGAUUGCCACAGGAAUGUUCUGAGAUUGCCACACACACUUCCAUCUUCCCAAGGAGUUUGAAGGAUGUGUGAUUCCCAGCGUGAACUUGAAAGGGGGACAGAAGUAGUUAUUCUAGAUUUCAAUACAUUGCAGGUAAUCUAUGCAAACAGAGUAUGCAAAGUUGGCAAAGUCAUUAAAGGAACUCUCCUGUAAAAAGAAAGAAAGAAAGAUUAAAUUAAUGUUCUUCCCUGCUUUCCCAGAAACGAUGCCUACUUUCAUUGCCACAUGACAUGGCUCUUCUGAUUUGAAGUUCUGCAUUGGUCACAUUGGCUCAAGAGCAGAAUCACUGUUCAUGAGCACAAGAGGAAAAGGCCAUUUAGCACCUGGGCUCCAAGAGAAGAUGUAGAGCUGGGUGAUGCUGGACUCCCAUCUCCCAUCAGUCCCAGCCAGCAUGGCCAAUGGUCGGAGAUAAUGGAAGUUUGAGUCCUAUAGUAUCUGGAGGAAGGCAAGUUCUCCAUCCCAUUUCUACAACUGGCUAAUUUGCCAAACCAAAAUAUUGACAAAAUGUUCACUUUAGAAAAUAUGGUUUUGUUUUAUUUUAUUGGUUCCCACUAGCCUUGAGACUGCAAAGGUGUUUUCUUUUUCAAACAGGAAAACAAACUUAAUGAGCCUGGUCUGGGGGCCCCCAAGUGCAGAUUGCCUCACUUGGCUCCCCUCCCCUGAGUCUUUAGAGGUGAGAGCAGAGGCCCCUCGGGAAUACCGUUGACUUGAGACUGAGUGAGAGAACCUAUUAAAUGGGAAUUGGCCAAAUCAAUAAAUCAAGGCACCUGAAAGCUGAAACUAAGGUCUAAGGUGGUUAUGCUGCUAGCAUUCCGCGCUCCUCUCGUCAAUUAAAACAAACACAACUAAGAUGGCAAACAUGUCAUUCUGCCACAUUAUGUUAAACGGAAAAGCGUUUGUUCAGUUGGACACAGGUAGAUGUGCAUGCAACUGUAAUGCUUUAAGGAUUGGUCACCUUUUAAAAAUGGAAAACACAAGUCAGUGCUAUGGAAGUGUGACCAUUCCAACUACAGUGGUACCUCGGGUUAAGAACUUAAUUCGUUCCGGAGGUCCAUUCUUAACCUGAAACUGUUCUUAACCUGAGGUACCACUUUAGCUAAUGGGGUCUCCCGCCGCCCCCACACAAUUUCUCUUCUCAUCCUGAGGUAAAGUUCUUAAUCCGAGGUACUAUUUCUGGGUUAGAGGAGUCUGUAACCUGAAGCAUCUGUAACCUGAAGCGUCUGUAACCCGAGGUACUACUGUACAGUGUUCUGUCUAGAGCAGGGCUUCCCAAACUUGGGUCUCCAGCUGUUUUUGGACUACAGCUCCCAUCAUCCCUAGCUAGCAGGACCAGUGGUCAGGGAUGAUGGGAAUUGUAGUCCUGAAACAGCCGGAGACAUGAGUUUGGGAAACCCUGGUCUAGAGAAGCAGUCUUAAUGAUUAUAGAAAGGGUAGCCAAGGUGGUACCAUCUCAAUGUUGUGGCAAUUUUAGGUACAGGUUUUAAUUUGGGUUGCUCCCCCCCCCCGGCAUACUUAAUAUAUUUUGUAAUAUUUCUGUAGUGCUUAGCAGCAGCAGUUCUUUUCUGGUCUACAGAGUGGGGUACAAAUAGAAACAAUAGCAUUCCACAUGUGGACUGGGGCCAGUAUGAAAGUAGAUCACAUACCUCUCCCAGCAGCUGCCAGGAAUGUGAGCUGAAGCACCACGUGGUGACCCAGAGCCAUGUGUUGAAUGUUCGCAUGUGUUGAAUGGAGAAGGUGGUGCGUCUCAGCGGUAGAGCAUCUGCUUUGCGUGCGAAAGGUCCCACGCUCAAUACCCAGCAUCUCCAGGUAGGGCUGAGAGAGAUCCCUGCCUGAAUCCCUGGAAGGAUGCUGCCAGUCCAUGAGUAGACAAUACUGAGCUAAAUGGACCAAUGGUCAGACUCAGUUUAGGCAGCUUUCUAUUUUCCUAAAGAUAAAGGUAAAGGGACCCCUGACCAUUAGGUCCAGUCGUGGCCAACUCUGGGGUUGUGGCGCUCAUCUUGCUUUAUUGGCCUAGGGAGCCAGCGUCCAGCUUCCGGGUCAUGUGGCCAGCAUGACUAAGCCGCUUCUGGCAAACCAGAGCAGCACACGGAAACGCCGUUUACCUUCCCACCGGAGCGGUACCUAUUUAUCUACUUGCACUUUGACGUGCUUUCGAACUGCUAGGUUGGCAGGAGCAGGCACCGAGCAACGGAAGCUCACCCCGUCGUGGGGAUUCGAACCACUGACCUUCUGAUCGGCAAGUCCUAGGCUCUGUGGUUUAACCCACAGCGCCACCCGUGUCCCUUAUUUUCCUAUGUCCUUGCAAAACAAUGUAUGAUUAGACAAAACUGCAUGCAAAAAAAAGAAGUGAUUAUUAUGAGAAAGUUAAACUAAAAUGCUGAUUACAGGUAGGUAACCGUGUUAGUCUGCCAUAGUCGAAACAAAAUAAUAAUAAUAAUAAAAUUCCUUCCAGUAGCACCUUAGAGACCAACUAAGUUUGUUAUUGUUAUUCAGAUACUGUCUGAAGAAGUGUGCAUGCACACGAAAGCUCAUACCAAUAACAAACUUAGUUGGUCUCUAAGGUGCUACUGGAAGGAAUUUUAUUAUUAUUAUUAUUAUUAUUAUUAUUAUUAUUAUUAUUAUUAUGAUUCUGAUGAAUUUCUAUGAGGCUUGGUUAAAAAAAUAAUCAUCGUAAAUUGCUGCAGAAAUGUGGAGAAAUGAAUUUAAUGUGGGGAAGAAAUGAAAUCAAAAGAACCUUCCAUCCCUUCUUGUAACCGUUCCCCCCGAUUUUUCAGAAUGGAAUACAACAUGUGAACGGCCUUUGCUUAAUACUGGUAUGCUACCCAUUUUAUCCCUCCUAGAAAUUAGACCAUGAAUAUUUCAUCAAGAAAAGGCUGUACACAGAAUGAAGCGGUUCUAGCACACAGCUAUCGAACGUAGACUAGUAAUGGCAAUACUGCAGAGAAUCUGUUCUUGAGUAGGAACUCAUUUGAUGUGGUUGGUGGAUGCAGAUGAGAUAUUUGUAGCUGCUUUUACCAUUUUAAAAUCAAAGGAGCCAGUUAGCUCCCAGGCGAGGAGUUCUGUUCUUUUUUUAGUACAUGUUAUGUUGCAUAUUGAGAGGGCAAUGGAAGAGCUCAGGUUUGCCUCUAUCCAAAGGCCAAAUUCAGGGUGGGGAUGGUUUUGUGAAAUUUCUUCUCCACCCUGCCUCCAUAGUUGGCUCUAAUCCUUACCUACGGGCCUGUCUCAUGGAGGAUGCGAAUUAAUUUCCCCUCCUGAUCCACUCUGGGGAGUCCAUUGUGUGCAUUAGACAGGCUUUUGUGGUGCUAAUUUACCGGAUCAGAUUGGGCAAUUAGCUGUUUAUAGGACUGGGUGUGAUGUGUAAUUUUCCUGUUACACUGCAAAAGGUGCAUAUGUGUGUGUCUAUGCAAUCAAAAUUUAUCCCCUCCCUCUCCCAAGCUCAUUUCCCUUGGGCUCACUUGAAAGUCACCAGUAUGAAGUCAGUGAGGGAAAAAUCUCUCACUUCUUGUGGUUUUGGUGAGACUUUCAUGAUGCCCCAUCCAACCUGAAUUUUCUUGUGUAGUAAGGGGUAGCAGCCUGUUUUCAGAUCCUUCUUGUAUAAGUGUGAGCUGGAUUACUAAUUCCUCUUGUUAACAGGCCAAUUGCUAACUAAAGUCUGUUCUGUCUAUGACUCCACACUCAGCUCCACACCCCCCCCCACAACUGAUGCAGCUGAUGUGAUUAAUGUUUGUCUUCUAACUAUUGAGGUGGGGGGGGAGAGGGUCAACUGCAGAUUGUUGACUUAAGUACAGCUGCUCUAAAGAAAGUUGGCAAUUCCUUUGCCGUGGAUAAGUAUGGAAUUGGAGGACUUGCAUGUUGGCACAAACGUGUGAGGAUAUUUGAAUUAUAUUAAUCAUUUGAUUUAAUUUGAUGUUAAUUUGUUAAAUUUUUUGAAAAGCGAUAAAAUUAAUUGGCAAAAAUAAAUAAACGUGCAGGUAGAUUUGCCUCCACUCCUAUUCUUUCUAAGGUUGUGUGCACAUUCAAAGCACACAGUCUUCUAAGAAUUCUGGGUAGUUUACGCCUCACAGAGUUAAAAUUCCCAAGUGACAGUGCCGGGGCGAGCGGGCAGUAUUCUGUGGCUCUGUCCAGGUAUUGCCAUGGGUGCAACCCUGAUAGCUCUGUUGUGCCCACCGAUCUUACAGAACUUCCAGGUUAGCGGAGUCUGUAACCUGAAGUAUUUGUAACCCAAAGCAUUUGUAACCUGAGGUACCACUGUAUGUAUAUAUAGAACAGGGGAAUCCCCACAUGCACACAUCCUGUAAUGCAGUGUUUCUCAACCUGUGGGUCCCCAGAUGUUUUUGGACUACAACUCCCAUCAUUCCUAGCCAGCAUGAUCAGAGGUCAGGGAUGAUGGGAGUUGUAGUCCAACAACAUCUGGGGACCCACAGGUUGAGAACUCCUGCUGUAAUGGAACCCCAGUGUCAGUGGCUCCCACAGGGGAGCCACAGAAAGAAUGUGGUUGGUCAAGGGCGCCGUGGAUUAAAAAAGGUUGAAAACCACUGUGCCCAGAAUAUCUAGGUAGGAAUAUUCCCUGCCUAAAACCCUGGAGAGCUGCUGCCAGUCAGUGUCAAGAAUACUGAGCCAGAUGGACCGGUGGCCUGUCAUGCUAUAAGGCCGCUUCCUCUAUUCCUGUGACAAAGUCUGUGAUUCAUAUGAACCUGUUAGACUAGAUGAGUUCAUUAGGAACCGUCUGUAUAAUGCACAGCCCCAGGAUAGCGGAGGAUGCCAGACAUCCUUUCCCCCUCAUAUCUGAGGAGUGAAACAGUUCAGUUUAGAUUGUGAAACUGUCCGGGAUGAUGCCUGCCUCCUGGGGAUUUUCCAGCUGGCAGUGUGGGAGCAAACAGGCUUCGAUGGAGCGCCUUCAGGAAGAAUUCCAGACAGAACUCCGAGAACAACAUAACAGGUUUCAUUAGUUCUGGCUCUGAUAUGAUUUACCUCCCUGCUGAUACCUCCCAUCCCAAUCCAUCACCACUGUGCCCACAAAAAUCUCCCUGAUCGUUUAGUGAAGAGAAGCCUUACCUUAAUGGCCAUGGCGUGUUUGAAAUGCAGGUGGUAUAAAAGCUCAAUGUCAUUAUUAUUAUUAUUUUGCAUCAAUUAGCCUCACCAAAACAGCAUCCUUGGCACCUGAUCCAGACCUCUGCAACAGAAGUAGGUUUUCAUUCAUAAAACUGGAAGGAAUACUCUUCGGCUGAGAGUAGAAAAGAGCUAAAAAAGAAGUCGAGAGUCAAAGGAGCUUAAUCCCAAAAAGCCUGGAAGAAAUAUUGUAUAACUUCUAAUGGGCUGCUUUGCUAGCUGCCAAACCGUGAAACUGAUUUAUGCUGUUUAUGGUUAGAGUGUGUUGCCUCUUUCUGCUCUCACCUGUGUUAUUCUGCCUGGCCAGGAAACAAAUCCUGGAUUGCUUUUGCAGCCAAGGCACUUCUGGGUCUUCAAGCCAGUCAACCAGCCUAAGUUGCCUGAGAUUCCUGGUACUCAUGAGCGUAUCAGGUGGCUUGGGGUGCCAGAGAAAGAAACUACAGGUGUGGCCACAUCAUGGCUUGCUGAAAUGGAAUCCUUUUCAAGAUCAGUUCCCCUGAGCUCCUGCUCAAAGAAAACCCCUGUCUGGAUGGAAUGUGUCCUUGAAUAAUAAAAGGGACUCUUGCUUGCCUGGAUGAAGGAUAAGGAGAAGUGUGUGUUUGUAGGAAGCAGCCUAUUUUACAUAGAUGAAAUUGGUAUUCAUUUCUCUGCCACCUUUGCCUCUGACCCCUCUCACUCCUGGCAUGUGACCUCUGGAAGCUAGCCUAUAAGUGAAUGUGGCCUUCAGAGCUAAAAAUGUUUCCCACUCCUGAUGUCCUGGGUAAAGGACCCCUGGACAGUUAAGUCCAGUCAAAGGCGACUAUGGGGUUGUGGCGCUCAUCUCACUUUCAGGCCGAGGGAGCCGGCGUUUGUCCACAGACAGCUUUCCGGGUCAUGUGGCCAACAUCACUAAACCAAUUCUGGCUCAACGGAACACCAUGAUGGAAACCGGAGCGCACGGAAAUGCCGUUUACCUUUCUGUCGCAGUGGUUUAUCUACUUGCACUGGCGUGCUUUCGAACUGCUAGGUUGGCAGGAGCUGGGACGGAGCAACGCGAGCUGCUGAUGUCCUGGGAUAGAUGUCUAGCUGGCGUCAUGGCAGUAGAACCAGCAGUUCCUGGUUUUUAGGCCAAUGCUUUCAUCUGACAAGCUGCUGAGCCCAGGAAGACGCCGCUUGGGAAAAGAUGGGUACAUGCUGAGACUAUGGGGCCAGAGAAAUGGAGCUGCUGCUGCUGCUGCCGCCGCCGCCCCUUGCAGCUUCUUUCAGGAAAUCCGGGUGACAAAAUGUGAACGAAGCACAGAAGCAACCUGAAACUGACUUACUAAGGCCCUUUUCCUUAAAAUGUGGAGAGCUGCAAGAACAUGUGGUUGGACUGUGCAAGCCUCCUCUGUUCAGGCAACGUCUGUAGGCAGAGGGAGAAUCUUGUUGGUACCGGGUCAGGAUUGAGGAAGGGCAGGGGCUGACAGCUGACAGCUGGAAAAAGGUAAUUUUAACUUACCACACCUGUCAAGUUAGCAGUCGCAGGAUCCCCCUCAUUCCUUGGAGCUGGGGAAGGGGGCUUAAUGGAGAAGCCCCAAGGUUAUCUUUUAGGUGCUCAGGUUGAAUGAGCUGUCUCCAGACCCAUUGUGGUUUAGACAGUGCUAACAUCACUUCGGUGUUUAUCAUCUUGUUUUAGAAACCAAGGAGAAGGGGAUUUUCUUCAUUCUUUCAUCACCUUGUCAGUUCAGAUAUGACACAUACAGUAUGUGCUAUUUAAAGGAGCAGCAGCCUUCUUAGCAAUGAUGCAAGGCGAAGAAGCUAUUUGUUACAACAAAAGUAAUGAUCUUUCUCAGCGCUAGCCAAACACUUUAAAUGCUACACUAUACCAGCCGUCUACCUUGACAAAUCUACUGUAUUUACUCGAGUCUAAUUCACUAUUGAAUCUAAUGCACACCUCAGUUAUCAGAACCUCGAAACCAUAAAUAGUAUUUGCUGGCGAAUGUAAAAGUGCCAUCGAAUCUAAUGCACACCUUAAUUAUCACAAUAUCAUUUAGCCAAAAAAGAGGUGAGCAUUAGAUUCAAGUAAAUACGGUAUUAAGAUUCCAUAAUGUAUAAAGGUAAAGGGUAAAGAGACCCCUGGCCAUUAGGUCCAGUCGUGGCCGACUCUGGGGUUGCGGCUCUCAUCUCACUUUAUUGGCUGAGGGAGCCGGCGUACAGCUUCUGGGUCAUGUGGCCAGCAUGACUAAGCUGCUUCUGGUGAACCAGAGCAGCGCACGGAAACACCGUUUACCUUCCCGCCAGAGCAGUACCUAUUUAUCUACUUGCACUUUGACGUGCUUUUGAACUGCUAGGUUGGCAGGAGCAGGGACCAAGCAACGGGAGCUCACCCCGUCGUGGGGAUUCGAACCACCGACCUUCUGAUCGGCAAGCCCCAGGCUCUGUGGUUUAACCCACAGCGCCACCUGUGUCCCCAUAAUGGUAUAUGUGUUGGUAAAAUAGGAAUGAAGUUCCAAGCUCACAUCUACCGUGCAUGUGUAUCAGUGGAAAAGGCUGGGUAUGCCUACAGUCAAAAAAAGACAAAUUCAAAGCGUUAUAAUAAAUGGCUGUACAGUAACGAAGCCUGCUGUUCUUCCUGUCUUUGAAUAUGAGAGUAAAGGAACAUUCACUAUGGGGAAUGGGUAAAAAUGGAAGCUGGCUAAAUAAAAUGCCUUCUCCACCAAAGGUUAUCAACUUUUCCAAUGAUCGUUACACAUUAUUGAUUGAUUGAUUGAUUGAUUGAUUGAUUGAUUUGAUUUGAAUACAGCCUUAUACCUGCAGGUCUCAGGGCCGUUCACAGGAUAAAAUUCAGUGAAUGUGUGUGACAUGACAGGAUUGCAACAGUAAAGUUCCCAGCCAGGACCACCCAUGCAAUCCCUACAUGCCUGCUUUGCAUGUCAAGGAACCCUGUUAAGAAACACAGCCCUGGCUAUGCACGCAGUUUGUAUGUAGGUAGGGACUACGCAGAGUGUCUUAUGAACAUGUCUAUGCUAGAAAGAGGACCAGGGCUUGCCACCAUAAUCCUGCUUCUCCACCGAGUAAGGUGUUCAUUUGAAAAAUGUGCAGAGCAGUCUCUGAAACUUUGAGACUGAUGGCAAUUUUAGUCAUGCACAUAAACAUGCUAGAGAGCAUUAGGGGUUUUCAGAGAUGGUUGCAGCAUACAUCUCAGGUUAAUAACAGAAUUGCUCAGGCUCUUCCUCCACCAUAUAUAGGGGGAAACAAAAAUGGACAGCUUGACUGGCAUUCCUUGCUCCUGCUCUUACAUGGCGGCUGGGGAAGGGGCACAGAUCCAAGCAAAGAGUUUGAGAGGUUAAAAACCUGCGGGAAGUAGAGGGCUGCCCGAAUGAUGGCUCAUCAUCACAUCCAGGAAUAGCAAGGUGCUGGUGCUGCCCUGAUUUGAAGCUACUGGCAGGAGACGGGCACUUUGGUGGGGAGUUGUGAAGGGGAAUUCAUCAUAUCUUCAGCACAAGUUAGCUAAAUCUUUUGGGACACCAUUUUGUAUGACAAGAUAAUCAUGGUGGUAGGUGCAGACCCCUAUGCUUUUACAGUACUGGGACGGUGUUGUUUGUGGGUGGGAAGUCUGCUCACAUGGUAAUAAAACCAUGCUGCUGUUCAGUGACUGUAUAGUUGACUCUGUGAAGGUCCAAGCAAAUCACAAAGCAAUGGUGGCACAUGUAGGGUCUGUGAAAACGUCACAAAUGUGCGCACAACCCGGUUCCUAUUUGUUGGGUUAAUAAAGGACAUCCAAAAACAUGAACUGGAGAUUGGGUUCUGAUCCAAUUGGAUGUUCCCUUUCAUCCUUCCUUAUGGAGCCAAAGCUCUAUUGUAAAAUUUAAUUCCCAUACAUCAUUUGCUGUGAAAUUUGUAUGCGAAAGUAUUAGAGGAGUGUGUAAAAAGUUACUGCUGCCUUCUUAAAAGGAUCUGUCUUUUCCAUGACACAUAAUUCAUUUACCAACAUAAAAGGGAAAUGACUCACCUUUCAUCCAAACAAGAACUCCUAAAGCUUAGCCGACAGCACCUGUCUGGGACUUGGUUACUUAUUAACUAAUUGCUAGCCAAAGGUGUCCUGGGAAAUAAAGAGUUUGCUUAAGUUUCUUCCAGCCUGGAAUUUGAAUGACCUCUCCUUGCUUGUCAAAUAGGAUUUGUACACUGAGCAAUGUAUAUAAUAUGAUCUUGCACUUAGCCAGUGGUCAGUGAGUGCCCAACAAUCGAUUUCUGGAUAAGGUUUUAAAAUAGCUGCCAAAAACUACAUCUGCUAAGAGGCAACUACCCAACUCUAGAGAUCAAAAUUCUGAUUUUGUUGCCUAAAAAGCAAACAUAGGCACUACAAACAUUUUUACUACCUAAUAAAAAUAUGGCCGGAUACCUUUAGCUGAAGAAAUUCACACUGACAUGUGGGUUUCCGUAUCUUUCUCCUUUACUUCCUUCCCUUCAGUGCCCUUCUUGCGAUUGACAGGAGAAAUGCCGCAGUAAUGCUGUAGCAGCUGGCAGAAUUCUCCCUUCAGUGCUGCUCUUAGACACAGGAUUCCAUCUUAGGAGUCUCCAGACCAAUGGUGAGGAAACUGUGGCCCUCCAGAUGUUGUCGAAUCACAACUCCUGUCAUCCCUGACAUUAGCAGGCUGGGGCUAAUGGGAGUUGUCAUCCAACAACAUCUGGAGUGCCACAAGUUCUGCAUCUUUGGGGUAGACGUGCCAAAAUUAUAUCUCCUUGGCUCCUUAGCUUGCAAUCCCCAAACCUGCUCCCCAGGCCCCUGUCUCCUCCGCUUACCCUUCCCUCAGGUUCAUGAACAUCAGUGCACUGAUUGCUCUACCCCGUUCCUUCAGCUCACCUUUUUCUUCUCCCUGGCUUCUUUAGCCACUUUCUGGUCAGUCAACUUUCCAAUAACAGCCUAUGUGAAAUUUAAAUCCCAGUCAAGCAGAGAACUAUCCAUUUUCAUAGACUCCUGACUAGGGAUGGAAGGGUCUGUCAAUUUUGGUUCUCUCUAUUUCUCAAUUUUCCCAUCUUAAAUUCAGUCCUGCAGCAAAUUACUAGCAUUUUAGUGUGCAUUCCUCCUAAUAAACACAUUUUCAUAUGCAGUUUUGAAUAAUGUCCACUUUUAUAUCACCUACCAUAAUGCAUUAUUGUAUGCUAUUUUCAGUGAUAUAUGCAAUUUUUAUGCUCCAACAGUUAAGUACAGUUGCGAAUGACUCUGGGGUUGCGGCGCUCAUCUCACUUUAUUGGCUGAGGGAGCUGGCGUUUGACUAAGCCGCUUCUGGUGAGACCAUAGCAGUGCAUGGAAAUACCGUUUACCUUCCCACCGGAGCGGUACCUAUUUAUCUACUUGCACUUUGACGUGCUUUCAAACUGCUAGAUUGGCAGGAGCUGGGACCGAACAAUGGGAGCUCACCCCGUCACAGGGAUUCGAACUGCCGACCUUCUGAUUGGCAAGCCCAAGGCUCAGUGGUUUACACCACAGCGCCACCUGCAUCCCAUCACUUUCCCCUAAUGUAUGCUUGGGUUUGUUUUGAAAACUUUGGUUGAUUGAAAAAUUCAAAUCGCUGCGAAUUUUGAAGGAUGACUCAGUUUAGGUUCUCAUAUUGUUUCAGAAAUGACAAAGUUCAUAGAUAGGUGUGAACUGAGUUGAAUUUCACCUCUAUUCCUAACCCUUACUGUGAACUUUUUGAUGUGGAUGCUUGGACUUCACAGUGCUCAAGCCAGGCGAUGCAUUACCUUGAGUUCUACAUGUUUUUGGAUCCGCUUGGAUAGGGAUGCAUGAGGAUCAAACUUUUCACACACCAGAAGAUAUUGAACUUGACAUGAACUUUCCUUCCAACAUCUUCAGCCAUGAAGAAGAUUAUUGUAUUGUAUUGUGCUGUGCUGUGCUGUGUUGUGCUGUGUUGUGCUGUGUUGUGCUGUGCUGUGCUGUGUUGUGUUGUGUUGUGUUGUGUUGUUGGACCAUUCUAAAAUGGCACUGGAGUUCUGUUUUUCCACUCCACCCCCUUUAAAAGCAGGUGUAUUCAGAACCAAGCUGGAAUUAUGGUGUGUGUGUGAGAGAGAAAUUUCGUUCUGCUGGCUUCACAUGAAUGCAUUGCAAACUUGCAAACAGAAUGCCAGGGAAGCGAGUUAACCCAAAUGUUUAAUCUCCCUAAAGCUGCCCUCAGAUAUGGUGGAAAGUAAGCUGUGACUUACUAAUAGACUCUAAAUCUUGCAUUGCUAUUUCGUAGAGGUAGCUUUGUUCUGUAGCUUGCUUGCUUCCUGAUUGUUCUGUCACCAAAAGGGAGGGAAAUCGUUCUGCUGCACUCAGAACCAAGAUUAAGGGGUGCCUUUUUAAAAUAAAGCAGCUAAGGGGAGGGGGGCUUUUCAGUUUUAAUUGCUGCCAGGGGGAUGUUGUACGGUGAAAACUGCCAGAAUCGUUUCCUUUCCUGUUUUGUUUUUCUGCCCACACAGUUUUGCAGUUGCCGAUAAACAAAAUUCCAAGUCCCAGCAAGAGGUUUUCCCCCUCCUCCUGAAUCAGAAAAAAACACCCUGUGCUGAAGAGCGAGCGCAUGCUUUGCUGAACUAAUAGAAGGAGGUGGAGGAACAGGAGAACUUUGUGACAAGCAGAUAGAUCUAGAUCCACAUUAUUAUUGUUUUUAUUCUUGGUCCUUUUGCUGUUUUCUCUGGAUAGGGAUGUCUUCCUGUCCCGCUGCUUGAGGUGGAAUUUGCACAUUUACAGCUUGUGCCCUUGUACGGAGGCCAGCUCCAACUCUAGCAGUUUAUGCCGCCUCCUCUUAUGGCCUGAGGGAAUCUCUGUGACUCGGGGGUUAGAGAAGAAGAGCGUGGGGGUUGGAGGCCAGGACUCUUUGACCCUGGAGACCCUGUUGCCUCGCUGCAUGUGUGGGCCAUUGGCUGAAUCAUUUAGCCUCACUGUGUGUUUCUGGGAGUUUUCAACUGCUGGGUAACCAAGCUUCCCUCCUUGCCAGAAAGCAGUAACUUGAGGUUUAUAAGCCUGAUUUCCCCCGAUAAAGGAUGCUAUGUGCUUCUUGGUUCUCUCUCUUCUUUACUCAGCUCAAUCCAGAUGUAGGUGUGUAAAUGUACAAGCACAUUCAGCUUGCUGUUUGAAAUGGGACGGAGGAAGGUUUGGUCUAUAAAUCCAAUAAAAUAAUUGUGCAUGGUACCCUUUCAUAUUGGCCAGGGAUGUGGAACCUGUCACCCAGUUCCCCCGGAGAAGGGUUCACAUGGAAACACUACUGCCACUGAUAUUUUUCUAGAAAAAGAGGUGUCGGGACUCACCAUGAAUGCCUCCCUUGUUCUCCCUCGGGUUACAGACGCUUCAGGUUACAGACGCUUCAGGUUACAGACUCUACUAACCCAGAAAUAAUACCUCAGGUUAAGAACUUUGCUUCAGGAUGAGAACAGAAAUUGUGUGGUGGCGACACAGCAGCAGCGGGAGGCCCCAUUAGCUAAAGUGGUGCUUCAGGUUAAGAACAGUUUCAGGUUAAGAACGGACCUCCGGAACGAAUUAAGUUCUUAACCCGAGGUACCACUGUAAUGGCAAUGGCACCCACCUGAGAGGAUUGCCGGAACUGAGCUCACUGGGUGACGUUGUGCCAGCUGCUCCAUCUCAGCCUGACUUACCUCACAUGGUUGUUGUGUGGAUAUAAAUGGGGAGAACCAUGUACACGUCCUUGGAGGAGAACGUGGUAUACAAACAUCAGAAACAAAGCAAACAAAUAAUUUAGCUGGCUUCAGUUUAGUGCUUCACUAAUGUUCGUUGCUACUUGCGUCUCCCUAAGCGGUUCCCAGAAAGAUUCAGAAUCUUAUGGGCAGCAGCAAGUGGCUCUUGAGACGACUUCCAAGCUUUCUUAACUUACAGUAGGGACAAGGAACCAUUUCCCUUUCCUUGCUGCAGUAUAUUGUGGGCUCUUUUCAUGGGAAGGGAAGCAGCAUCUACUGCUGUCUCCAAGGCUGGGAUACUGGGGAUAACAACUCCAAAUGGGAGACAGUUGGGGUGAAAAGUUGCCGCAAACAACCUUUCAUUUUUUGCAGCAGCGGUAGUGAUGGUGGUAUGCAGACAUUUCCACCCUGGAUCUUGGCAUCUGCUCACAUUUUUUGCUAUGACUGUACUUCGUUCCGAGGCAGAAAACGCUUGACUUGUAAAAAACUGGCUAAAGAUUUAUUACUGCCAUCUCUGGAGCAAGGAUUUGAAAUCCUGACUUCCACAGCGGCAUUCCUGUGUCCCUCUUGGAAGGCUGCUUGGCACCUAUGUCUGAGCCUGGGUGGGGCAUUUCGUGAAAGAGCUUUGAUCUCUCCUGGCAACAUACUUUCAAACAAGCCGCAGAAGGAGCAACAUUACCUGAGAGGGUGAGAUAACAGGUAACAGCUUUCUGCGCAGGGCCUGUGAUAAUUCUGCUCUUUAUGGGGCUUUGAUUGCAGCAGGAUACUUAGGAGCCCAAGGAAACUUCAAAAGCUGCGCACACUGCCAUUGCACCACCUUGUGCAAAGAACCGUAAGAGGGGCGGGCGUGUGUAUAGAGGCAUGUUUAUUACUCUCAUUGAGAAAUAUUUGCACUAGCUCAAAUACUAAAGCAGGAAGUAACAGUGUUGUUUUCCAGCUUGCAGAGUUAGAAAACAAAAGAAAAGAACGGCUGUGCCAAGAUUGGCUUUAAAUUUCUCAGCUUCUGCCAUUCUUAGGGAAACAUGGAGUAAAACAGGCUUAUCACUGAAUUUGCCAUACGAGAACGGAGAUAGAUACGGGUUCAGCCUUUCUAUGCCCAAUUACAUAUGUAAGGUAAAGUUAAAGGGACCCCUGACUAUUAGGUCCAGUCGUGACUGACUCUGGGGUUGUGGCGCUCAUCUUGCUUUAUUGGCCAAGGGAGCCGGUGUUUGUCUGCAGACAGCUUCGGGGUCAUGUGGCCAGCAUGACUAAGCCACUUCUGGCAAACCAGAGCAGCGCAUGGAAAUGCCGUUUCCCUUCCCGCCGGAGCGGUACCUAUUUAUCUACUUGCACUUUGACGUGCUUUCGAACUGCUAGGUUGGCAGAAGCUGGGACCGAGCAACGGGAGCUCACCCCAUCACAGGGAUUCAAACUGCUGACCUUCUGGUCGGCAAGUCCUAGGCUCUGUGGUUUAACCCACAGCGCCACCCGUGUCCCAAUUAGAUAUGUACUUAAUAUGGAAUAGGCAGAUCCGUAUCUUGUUUUUCCUUAGCCAAUUAAAGGUGCAGGAGAGCCCAGUUCUCACAGUGAAGGCAGUAAAUGCUGGUGGGGAGACUGAUCUUUUCAUCACUCCUGCACCUCGUUUGGCAUAGACGCUCCCUGCCGCAGCUGUGGAGCUAGGAGCCAUGGAGGGAAAGAUCACCACUGGCACUAUUUGGAAAUGCUUGUGUAAAGUGACAAUAAAAAGCUCAAUGAAUAAAACAGUGGUGAUAAUCCCAGGAUGUAUUGCUACCCUUCACAGUUAAUUGGACAGACGUAAUUCACUGUUAAUAGUUGGGCAGGUUGCUUUGAGCCGCUUCUUCACUGAGACAAUUUCAUCCUGUCAUAACCAGGGGGAGUCCUUCCUCAGGAUGAAACAUUUUUUGGUGAGGUGGUCAGGAAUAGCAUCUGCACCACUGCCAUUUUUCCACGGAAGCUAGGAAUUCCUUUUUUUAAAAAAAAAAUCAGCAAAAUAAAAUCAAAAUUGCUCAAGUGACUUUCGAGUCCAACUCCAUUUAAACGAUAAUUUCUAGAGCACGGGCACUGAGGAAGGAUCCAUUUCCCUCAGAGUGAGGCAGAGAGGUGGGUGGGGAGUAGAGAGAGCAAAACUCUCUACCAGUAAGUGACAAGGAAAGUGAAAGGGAGAUAGCCCCUUGUCUUGGACCACCUAAGACAGAUCACCAACCAAAUAGCAAAAGCAGUGCCGAUUUAAAACUAGGACCCAAAUAAUUUUUCAGUAUCUUAAAUCCUACUGCUGAGGCGUGCAACAAGAAAGCAGGUAUACUUAUAGGCAGACACAACUGUGUCCAAGAGUUAAAGUUUCUGGCCUCUGGCUUCACGCUGGUCAAACAUUGCCCAGAUGCUGGAAGGUAUGUCUUGUUAGCCCCUAAAAGCAUAACAGAGCCCACUUGUUUCGCCUGCGAGGGAGUGUGCGCGACGGUUAUUUGUCCAAGCUAAUUUCCUUUUUCACCACCACCCAUUCCUAAUUCAGCUUUCCCUCCCAGAAUUAGUUCUACUGAGCACAGUGGCAAAGCAGAACCUCUUCCCUCUGGCCUUCUGUUUAUCAUCUUCUGUCAAGCGCAUGCUGUUUCCAGGCAACGGAAAGGAAGUGCCAGCUAGGGCCACGUGGUUGUGGCCAGUCAUUUCGUGUUAGCAUCCUGGGGCAAAGUCUCAUUUAUUUCUAAUCUAAUGUUUCUAGGGGAACGACACAGUCAGCGUGUCCCGUACUCUGUGCCAGUUUAGACAAAACUGCCUCUCUUGGUUUCUACUUUCCUUGGAACUAGUUCUCAUAAGGAUUGUGUUUACAGUUUCUGGCUGAAUAUUUAUUAAGUUUCGUAAUUUUUUAUUUAUUUUCUUUAAAAAAAAAUAUACACAGCUUAGUCCGAGAUAAACUUUGUUCUUUUCAUUUCGUUCUACUGAUAAAACGUGCCACUCCAAAACUGCAUAACACAUUUGGAAUAUAGUUUGAUACAGAUUUAGCCCAACAUGUUUCAAGUAGCGUUUUGUUUGGAUAUGGUGUUUUAAAUGGUGGUGGUGGUGGGGGAGAGGAUAGAUUCUCGCCCCCCACCCCACCCACUUCCUCCAGUCUGGCAUUUCUCAAGCCACAUUUAUGGACUCAUUCUCACAAUCCUGCUACUCUGUGUAUCCCCCCCUGCCCCCGCCCAAUGAAUGAACAGAGCUUCAGUCCUGCAGCGCUGGAGUGCUUUUAAUAAUGCUAUUUUCGAGGAUGUAAGAAAAUGAAAAGAAUGGAAAUGGAAGAAUAGUUGUUAAGCACAUUAGGACGUAAUCAGUUAGCAUUAAAAUUAAUUCUGGAUGAUUCAUGUAUCUGUAAGAGGACAGGGGAGAUACAGUGGUACCACAGGUUAAGUACUUAAUUCGUUCUGGAGGCCUGUACUUAACCUGAAACUGUUCUUAACCUGAAGCACCACUUUAGCUAAUGGGGCCUCCUGCUGCUGCUGCGCCGCCGCUGCACGAUUUCUGGUCUCAUCCUGAAGCAAAGUUCUUAACCCAAGGUAAAAUUUCUGGGUUAGCGGAGUCUGUAACCUGAAGCAUAUGUAACCUGAAGCAUAUGUAACCCAAGGUACCACUGUAUAAGGUCACAUUUACACCAGUGAUUUUUCAGAGGUAAAAUGGAGAAUUCAGGAGCCUUGACCUGCUUCUUCAUUAGGAUGUUAUCAAUAAGCAUCUGUAUCUGAGUUUAACAACUAAGUAUUUUUUUAAAGAAACUGUCUGCUUUUUAAUUUGCUCUUAUAUUUCCUUCCCUCAUGAGCAGUGUUAGAAACUCAGACAUAUAAGCUAGGUGCCAAAUGGCUUCUUAAACCAGGGUUACAGUUGCCAAAACAGAAUGCCUUGUUGCCAUUUGUGGGGCCAGGCAGAUCGAAAGUUGUAUUUUCCGAUAUGACUUUUUGGUUCCUGAAAUUCAUUCUGAUUGUGCAGAUAAAAUAUAACGGAUAGAAUUCUACAGCAUGUGUUGCUCGUGUAUGAAAACAGGCCAGAUUCAAGGAUCCUCAGGCAUGCCCCUCCAGAUGGUGGAGACAUCAGGUGCCAUCCUGCUGCCCAGGCAUCUUCACUUGGUCACAAGUGGCUGAUAGCCAGGUGCAAAAUGCGCCUGGUGCCUGGCCAAUUUCAAACACUGCUCAUGAAUCCAAUUCGGUCAAGGAAUCACUCCCUCUUGUGAAAAUUCUGCCUUUUGUGAGUUAGACGAGGAUUGCUCAGAAUGAGACUUCUACUGCUUACAAGCUUGUCUGCCAUUAUCAUACAUGAUAAGUAUUUUGGCAUAACGGAUGCUCCUAUAUAAUAUGUGCUGCUCUGUUUCUCCUAUUUAAUUAGUCCCAGCUCACUGUGAAAUCUAGUUAAAAUGUGCUCUAUGGAUACACUUGCAUCUCCCCAUUUUCAUAAGGGCGUUUCAGUCUCCCUCUACACACUGGCCAUGAUUUGAAUGCUACUUGUGCUUUAGAUCCUGGUUUAUAUUCCUAGUUCCUUAAACCAUAUUCAGCUUGAGUUUCCCAGUUCAGACCUAACUUAAUUCAAGCCAGCAUCUCAGCACUCAAACCAGCAUGCAAUGCCAAGGAGAAGGCCAAGGGUAGAGCUUGUAGCUGUGGUGCUAAUCUAUGGUAAUACCUGGUCCCAAAAGCUAUGAACCCAACCACUAUAGGGACAUUACCCAUCUGUUUGAAUUCAGAUUCCUGUAAAUUGAAGGUGGUGAUUUAAAGGGCGAAAGAAAGUGAUGGGAGAUUUUCUCUUUCCAUAUCCCCUCACUUUGAAGUUGCAUCGUCCCUUCCAGAAUUGGAGCCAGACCAGGGCUGGUAGCUCCAAGGAGGAAAAUCACAACUGGGCAAAGGGUUAUGCAAGCUCCCCCUGCCUGCUCUUUAAAGUACACAGUUUAUAGGAAUUAAGAAGCAUCUUGCUUCUAACACACCAAUUUUGCCACUUUCACGUCUAGUUCACUGCAUAGUCUAGGUCGCAGGUGGGCUCCCUGCAACCCUAGGGCUACGUGGGACCUUUUGCCUAAUUUUAUCUGGUCUUCAGCCUAAUUUCAAAAGCCCUCUGCAAGUGAUUAGGCCUUUUGGUAAGGAAGAAGUAGAAGAAGACAGAUGGCUAGCUAGAUACAUAGAAACAUGCAGAGAUACAUAGAUUGAUACAUUGAUACAUAGAUAUAUGGAUACAUAAAUCAACACAGAUGGAUACAUAGAUACAGAUACAUAGAUGGAUACAUGGUAACAUAGACACGUAGGUGCAUUGAUGGAUACAAUUUUGGAAUACAGUGGUACCUCGGUUUACGAACUUAAUCCGUUCCUGAAGUCCAUUCUUAAACCAAAUCCAUUCUUAAACCGAGGUGUGCUUUCCCUAAUGAGGCUUCCUGCCGCCGGUGCCCUUCCACCGUUUAGCUUCCGUUCAUAGACCGAGGUAAAGUUUGCAAACUGGGACACUAAUUCCGGUUUUACGGCGUUUGUAAACCGAAUAGUUCGUAAAGAGGGCUGUUCGUAAACCGAGGUACCACUGUCUAAUGUAGCAGGAGGAGGGAGGAAAACAGGGAUGAAAGAAAGAGAAAGGGCUCUGACCUGCCAGUCACUGGCAUUGGCCCUGCUCUUAGCCAGAAUGCUUCCUCUGACAGAUUUUCUCCAACAGAUCCCCCUGGAUAGAAAAUACAGCUGUCCAUCCCCGAUUUCCACGACCAUAUGUUUGGUGGCUGUUCAAUAUCAAGCUGAGGUCAGAGUUAGCCCUCCAGAGUCUUGCUAUUGAAGUGGAUUGUUCUGCUGAAGCAAGAUCCAUGCAUGUCAAAAUGAAACACAUAUAUAAUUUAUUUCAUCUGUCAAAUGUUAAGUGUCUUUGUCAAUGGGAGAAAGAAUGUGUAGUUCUGUUGUUGUUUUUUUAAUGGCACAAUGGUUUCCAUAGCAAACUGACCAUUGCUUCGUUUUUCUUUUCCUGUAGGAUCACAUGUCAAAAUAAGAAGGUAAUCAGUGCACAGAGGAUGCUGACAGAAAGGCCAAGAUGCAGAAGACCCAACUGUUUGUGCAGAAAGGACCUCACCUGAUGGAGGAAACCUCUUUGGAAAUGUCAGGAAGGCUUAUGCUUAUGACUUGUAGUCCACCAGCUGCUAAGAUCUGAAACAGAUGUCUGGUGAAGAGAGGAGCUCUCAUCUCAUGAUCAGCAGAAGUGGAGUAUGGGAUCUUCAGCUAGCAGAAUGCUACGUCAAGCUACCUCACCAGUAUCUAUACAUAAUGAAGCAAGUUAACUUUGGUUUGUUUCCCCUGGUUUUACAGUUUCCAGAUGUUCCCUCCUUCUCCGCUGUGCCUGUAUAGUCACCUCCACCAGAGACCUGAAAACCACUUGGGGAAAGGGAACAGCCAUUUGGUCCAAACAGGAGUAUAUGCCACACACACACACCCUUUGUUGUUGAAAGAUUCAAAUAUGGCAAUGGAAAUAGCUGUGAAUUUUCCCAAUGUCCUCUGCAUCUCUUGUGCCUCUUCUUUCAUUGCUGAUUUAAUGAUUCAGUGGAAGUUCAGGAUGCCCAGAUGAUCAACGGGAAGAUUGGAACAAGAAGAUUGUUUUGUUGUUGUUGUCCUGAUGUAUCAAUAAAAUCAUAAUUUUUUUUUAAAAAAAGAAAAUUGGACUAUAUAUACCCAGUGUUGGGGGCCCACAGAAUUUAAAUCUGUUCCCGGGGAAUUAAUGGUCAGUUUUACAAAUUUUACUGUGAGUUGUCACAUGGAAACCCAGGAAAUACAAACUGUCAUUCUUCUGUCAAAAGGAAAUUAUAAUGUCACAUAUACUUAUACCGAAGAGUCCAUCUGACAUACAAAAGACAGCCUCAAAUGAGCAUGGAUAAGCAUGGGAAGUUUUAUUGUUUCAUGUUUUAAUUAUGUUGUUGGGAGCUGCCCAGAGUGGCUGGGGCAUACUAGUUGGAUGGGCCUCAUAUAAAAAUUAUUAUUAUUAUUAUUAUUAUUAUUAUUAUUAUUAUUAUUUUACUGGAAUAAGGUGAGAAUGCAUUAGAACUGUACCUUUUCUAAGUGAGGUUAUAAGAGAGAUGAAAGUAAAUUUCAGCUUGUAAAGUAGCUGAAAGCAGCCUUCUGCAACCCCCAUCACCCUCAGGCAUUAUGGACAGCUGUCAGGCAUGAGGGCAGAGGCAUUUUUAGGGUAGUUGCACUGGACACCGGCACCACAGGGGGCACUUCAACAGUGAUGUUGAACGGAACACAAAAAGGCUCCAUUUGGGAGACCAAAAUCUGCCACUGAUGAAGGGAGUCUAUUUGGGUUUUUUAUUCAAAGUGUUGAUCCUGACCUUUAAAGCCCUACAUGGUUUCGGUCCAGUAUACCUGAAGGAGUGUCUCCACCUCCAUCGUUCUGCCCAGACACUGAGGUCCAGCUCCGAGGGCCUUCUGGUGGUUCCCUCACUACGAGAAGUGAAGUUACAGGUAACCAGGCAGAGGACCUUCUCGGUAGUGGCGCCCGCCCUGUGGAAUGCCCUCCCAUCAGAUGUCAAAGAAAUAAACAACUGUCGGACUUUUAGAAGACAUCUGAAGGCAGCCCUGUUUAGGGAAGCUUUUAAUGUUUGAUGCAUUACUGUAUUUUAAUAUUCUGCUGGAAGCCGCCCAGAGUAGCUAGGGAAACCCCGCCAGAUGGGUGGGGUAUAAAUAAUAAAUUAUUAUUAUUAUUAUUAUUAUUAUUAUUAUUAUUAUUAAUUUAACAAAAUGCAUAUUGUAGGAAAAACUCUGAGUGGUUUAAAUAAAAGAUUUAAAUUAUCAAUGUAAAAGCAGGUAUUUUAAAAUCAACAAUAACUAAACAAAGAACUAAAAAUCCAACCAGCUCAGUUGGUGAGAGCCUGAUUGCAUCAAGGUUGCAAGAAUUUAAAACAACUGGUCAGCAACAACAAAAAUACUACAAAGUAAAUAAGAGAAAGAGGGGGAGUGAUUUCAAAAUAAAAAUACCAUAAAAUGCAAAAUACAGACUCGUACCAAUGUUAGUCAUACCCAUAAUGACUAGGUCCAUUAAUAUCAGAGGGUCUGCUCUGAAUAGUCAUUGGAUACAGCCCACAGACACAUCUGUGUCAGGGCAGAGCCCAAAAUAUCUGUUUAAAUUGGUAACUGAGUUAUAAAAGGGCGUGAAUGCAAAAUAAUCUCCUGGCUUUAUUCAGGUUUUCUGACAGAUCUCUUGGCUGCUCUCCUGGGUACAUGGAAGAGUUUGUGGUGGAAUUAUAUGUUUCCCCAUCAAGUGAGUUGACCUGAGCAGUUCAUGAUUAGCAAAAGUUCUGUUGUGACUUGCUGGGGAUUCUGUUAAGGGAUCGUAUAGCUGUUUAGAAAGAGAAAUGAUUAUGGGAAGCAAAAGUAUGUGUUUUAUCGUGCAUUUGACAGUGGCAUAUUCAAGGGCAAGGUGGGCAACAAGCUAUUAGAAAUACUGUGCUAUCUAUGAUGCCCUUCUGUGGAAAAGGAUCUGAAGUUCCUGGUUGGUGAGCACACACUUUCAAAUGCAGAAGGUCCAGUGAUGAAAAUGUUCCCUUGCAAAUGUGUGUUUUCUGUACCACCGAACAGCAAAAUACACCAAAUCCACACAUCUCAAAAGAAUGUGGGGUGGUUAAUAUGCUUAAAAUUGAGUCACUUGUUUACUCAUGAUACAUUCCUUUUAAAAAGCCAAAACCAGGGCUCCAUGUAGAUGGUUGCUUUUCAAAAACUUGUAGAGCCCUCUCAGUCUGCAGUCCACAUCCCUACUUUUCACAGGUCCAGCCGUGAUAUCUGGUUGUCAUGAACUGGCAGGAUGACAGGCAAGGCAGAAGAGGAUCCUGACGAGGGGUGUAGCUGGGACUGGGACACACCGGGGCAAGCGAGGGAUGGGGAAGGAAGUACUCACAGGAUGGCGGAGGGUGGUGAGGGGAUGGGUGUCAGUGCACAGGAACCAGAGCAGCAGGACCAAUCACUAGAGCCACAAGUAUGGGAGGCUCUGAGGCGUAAGGAG
rnacentral:lncRNA from 1 species